rnacentral:lncRNA from 1 species
CGCUGCCCUGGCGUCAUUCCGCUGUGUCUGCCAGCCCAGCAGCGAUUUCUUAGGCUUUGGCUCUCCCUGCUGUCGGCUCUCCAUUCUUUCCGGUGCUGGUCUGGGGUUUGCAGUUGCUUUUAAUCCAGUGAGGGUUUGGGGGUCAUCUGAAGUAAUAAUCGUCGCUGCCUCCCAAAUCCUGACAUAGUGGUUCGUAAGCAGAGAUACACAUCAGAAUCACUUGCGGCGGUGUGCCUCUUCAAAACACCCCUGGCCCCAGCCCCUGGCAGGAGGUUGUUGUUAGGAAUCCUGGAGCCAGCCUCGCCGUGCUCUCCUCAGAGACAUGAGUCUAAGGUCCACGAGGCCGUCUUCUCACACUUCUGAGGCACCAGCACCAGCUAAACAACUCCCCCCUCAGAGG